rnacentral:lncRNA from 1 species
AGUCCAGAGCCCGGGCUCCGGGAAAGCCGUGCUUUUGCGGUUCCGGUUGCUGGUUCUCACACCGCUGCGUCGUGUGGGGUUGUUGGCCCGAGAAGGGGCAGGACAGGGUGCGCGCUGGCGGAGGUUAGUGAGGUCACAUACCGGGCCUUGGCGCCUGGUGCACUGGGCGCCUCCACCGCAACCUUCGUAGCAAACCCAGCGGGGUUCUCUGCCUGGGCACCAUGGUUCUUGCGUUCAUUUACUGUCCAGUUUCUCAUUCCGAAAAGUGUGGCUUUUUCCAGGCGCAAACGGAUGGUUUUGGAGCAUUAAGGUCUGGUCGGCUGGGGCAGGAUGGCUGCGUUGACACGUCUUAUUUACCACAUCGUAGGUGAGGUAGCCACUUACCUCUUUACAGAUUGAAAUUUUUACAUUUCAUGUUUAUGUAAGUUGAAAUAGAAGUAUAUAUUACAAGCAUUAUGAAAGUAUGUAACAAGGCUGGGCGCGGAGGCUGACGCCUGUAAUCCCAGCACUUUGGGAGGCCGAGGUGGGCAGAUCACUUGAAGCCAGGAGUUCGAGACCAGCCUGGCCAACAUGGUGAAACCCCGUCUCUACUAAAAAUACGAAAAUUAGCCGGGCAUGGUGGUGCACGCCUGUAGUCCCAGCUACUCGGGAGGCGGAGGCAGGAGAAUCAUUUGAACGCGGGUUGCGAAGGUUGCAGUGAGCCGAGAUUGCGCCACUGCACUCCAGCCUGGGUGACACAGCAAGACUAUGUCUCACAAAUAAAUGAAUAAAAUAUGUAACAGUAUGUAUAAAUGUAUGAUUUAUAGGGAUGGAGCAGAGGGGACCCAAUUCAUUGCCCUGGGGACUGGUGUCCUUAUAAGAAGAGACGUGAUGGACGCU